rnacentral:rRNA from 1 species
UAAUACGUAGGGGGCGAGCGUUGUCCGGAAUUACUGGGCGUAAAGCGCGCGUAGGCGGCUUGGUAAGUCGGUUGUGGAAGCCUCGAGCUCAACUCGGGAACGGCGACCGAAACUGCUGGGCUUGAGUACGGUAGGGGAUGCUGGAAUUCCUGGUGUAGCGGUGAAAUGCAUAGAUAUCAGGAGGAACACCGGUGGCGAAGGCGGGCAUCUGGGCCGUUACUGACGCUGAGGCGCGAAAGCUAGGGGAGCAAACCGGAUUAGAUACCCGGGUAGUCCUAGCCCUAAACGAUGGAUACUUGAUGUGGGCGAUUUUAGUUCACCCGUGUCGAAGCUAACGCGUUAAGUAUCCCGCCUGGGGAGUACGGUCGCAAGGCUG